ensembl:lncRNA
GAGUUACCCUAAGUAGAUUUAAAUAAUUAAAUUCAAAAAUUCUCAAACCACUUGCUGUUUCAAAUUUAUUUCUUUAAUAACAACUCAGACUCAGCAACAGACUGGAUUAAGGUUUCAUUUAUUCGAAAUUUAAGGUAUAUCCAGCUCUGAGUGUUGUUUUUAAGUAUUUAAGGGGAAAUUUGUGCACGGUGAAAAUGAAGAGACUGCAGCAUUAUAAAUUCAUUUCCUCUAUUAGAAUCAGGGCCGCGCCUGCCCACUGCAGCUGUUCGGAAGGCAGGGCGGCCAGGCUGGAGGGCGCACCCCGGCAGCAGACGACCCUUUGUUUCCCCAGAGAGGAGACUUGGCCGGCCCCACACCCUUCACGGGAACUAUUUCCUCAGUGGCGCCAGGCAGUUGGGCAGGAUCAUCUGGUGCGGUUUUCAUGUGGCAAAGCAAAAAAUCCUCCGGGAUUCCAGGGUGACUUCUAAAGAUCCACUUUCAUCCGUGACCUCAAACCCUGCCUUGCACCAGGCCCCAAAGAUGAGAGGUCAUUGCGGCCUGGGCAGGAUUCACUGACCUCUGAAACCACCCUCCCUGAUCCAUCCAGCGAAAGCCGAGAGCGACUCAGAAAACAGGUGUUACAUGGCAGAUGAGAAAAAGAGGACAAGAUGAGUGCCUUUUCCAAUACAGUAGAAUAACUUCUGUCUCUCCUUACAUUGUCUGCUUCCUGACCAGCCAGCGAGCUGCUGGAAGACUCGUUGAUCUCAAGACUCUCAAGGUUUCCCCAGCCCCACACUCUUCUCCGUGGUUAAUCCCUCAGUGAGGGGAAUUGAAUUUUCUGUGGCUGCAUCUAGGGUUAAUGAGAAGGCAACCUUGAUUUGAAGAAAAAAGGCAGCAACAAACAAAAAUUAAAGCUUGGUUGAACAUUGGAGGUGGUUUCUCCUUUGUUUUUUGUUUUUCUUAAGUUCAAAAAAACAAAUCGUAAGGCAGAAAACCAAGGGCUAGACCUUUCUGCCUUGUUCUAAUAUUCAAAGGAAUUAUUUCCUUUUACAUAACAUCUUCAACAAGGCCACACCUCUUUUGUUAUCAGAGUGUUGUCAACGGCAAGCCUGCUUGACUCUCAUAAAGGCAAUAUAGUGCCCGACAGUGGGGUCCCAACGUGUGUGCGGGCCUAGAUCUACUUUACAAAUGGGCUGCCAGGCCAGCCUCCAAAGAGGACGCGGCGGGCUUCAGGGACACCUAAGUUGCGUCUCUCCCCACCUUCUCCGCAGGCCUUGAGUUUCUUGGGGCCGGCAGGGUAUCUCCUCCGGAGAAAGUUCAGCCGGCGGCAGGGACACUCUGCAAGCUUAUCCUGACCCCCAGUGGCCGGCCCUGUCAUCGGACCUACACCGGCUCCCACUCUCGCCGCCCCUUGGUUCCCUACCUAGCUAGAUCCCCAGGACCCAGGCACCAGGAGUUUUAAUUGACAAUUAAAACAAACUUCGGUUCUCACCAGAAUCGACUGAGUGAAAUUUCGCAACUGCAAGUUUCACAAUUCAAUUCCCUUGAAGCAAAACCAACAGUUUCCCUGAGGUUUCACUCCACACCUCUCCAUUUGUUGUUUAACUUCCCCUUCAAGUUUCCCUUCCCACACAGCAUUUUAUUUGAGAGUCAGGCCUGGAAACGGUUUAAUUAUGUUCCUGGGGGUCCCCGCCUCGUGCCUGCCCCGGCGCUGAGUCAGCACCUCCGCGCAGCCAGGAUGGGAAGGGAGCGCGCUCCCGGCCCAGGCCCGGAGGUGGGUAUUUAUGGCUUCGGCUGUCCCGCCUGCCGGUCGAGCUGUUCAUUUCGUCAGCCACCGAAAUCAAACAACCUGAAAUAAAGCUUCCGUGCCCGUGAAUAGAAUGGAGUCAGCAAACACUUCUGACCCUGGUGGUAGCGUUACCGGAUUUAGCCAGCAAAAAUACUGGGCGCCGGGGGAACAGAUUUAUACCAAAAUCGUUGUUGUUUAUCUGAAGUUCAAAUUUAACUCGAGGUUGUCGGGGUUUUUUAUCUCUUAACCCCACCACAUGAAGAAAAGAGAGGCUCUGUUUUAUGGUUUUACAGAUCAGCUUUGAUCAGGCCCUUGGAUCAGGCACCCAGUCUUGGUGCCCCCUUAGAAUUAGGUGAGGGAUUUUUUUUUAAUCAGAAGGAAAAUAGAGCAUGUUUUUUUUUUUUCUGGUGGCCACCCGGGAGGGUAGGCAUUGGCCCAUUUCUCAGAUUUCAGUGCUUGACAGGAUAGAAGUGACUACAUUCUAAAUUGCUAGCUUGUACAUGCUGAUAUGUAAAAGAAGGUUUUUUAAAAAAAGUUUUGCAUUACUGUUAUCUUCCUUAAAAAAAAAAAAUGCUAUGGCCUUGGGAAUACUGUAUGUAUCUGUUACCGACAGCUCUGAAAACCACUUCUGCAAAGCUUGUCAGUUAAACCAAAUGUUAAAUGGAAAAAAUUUGGCGGGAUUUAAAAUUAGCCCCACACACAUUACUUACAGAUGUUUCCAUGAAAAACACUUGAAACUGAACCACACCAAGUAAUAAACCCCACAAU